GAUGAACGCUGGCGGCGUGCCUAAUACAUGCAAGUCGAGCGAACAGACGAGGAGCUUGCUCCUCUGACGUUAGCGGCGGACGGGUGAGUAACACGUGGAUAACCUACCUAUAAGACUGGGAUAACUUCGGGAAACCGGAGCUAAUACCGGAUAAUAUAUUGAACCGCAUGGUUCAAUAGUGAAAGACGGUUUUGCUGUCACUUAUAGAUGGAUCCGCGCCGCAUUAGCUAGUUGGUAAGGUAACGGCUUACCAAGGCAACGAUGCGUAGCCGACCUGAGAGGGCGGGGGGCCACACUGGAACUGAGACAGGGUAGGGCCACCUACUGCAGUCACCAGUGCGGAAUCUUCCGCAAUGGUCUCAAGUCUGACUGAGAAAGGCCACGUGAGUAAUGAAGGUCUUCGGAUCGUCAAACUCUGUUAUGGGAGAAAAACAAAUAUGUAAGUAACUAUGCACGUCUUCACGGGACCUAAUCGGACAGCAACGCCUCGCUACGUC
rnacentral:rRNA from 1 species